rnacentral:snRNA from 1 species
GAGGGGAAAGGUUCCAUGUGA